AUUGAACGCUGGCGGCAUGCUUUACACAUGCAAGUCGAACGGUAACAGGCCUUCGGGUGCUGACGAGUGGCGAACGGGUGAGUAAUGCAUCGGAACGUACCCAGAGGUGGGGGAUAACGCAGCGAAAGCUGUGCUAAUACCGCAUGUGAUCUGAGGAUGAAAGCGGGGGACCGAGCAGCAAUGUUUGGCCUCGCGCCUUUGGAGCGGCCGAUGUCGGAUUAGCUAGUUGGUGGGGUAAAGGCCUACCAAGGCGACGAUCCGAAGCUGGUCUGAGAGGACGACCAGCCACACUGGGACUGAGACACGGCCCAGACUCCUACGGGAGGCAGCAGUGGGGAAUUUUGGACAAUGGGCGCAAGCCUGAUCCAGCAAUGCCGCGUGCGGGAAGAAGGCCUUCGGGUUGUAAACCGCUUUUGGCAGGAACGAAACGGUGUCCGCUAAUACCGGGCGCUAAUGACGGUACCUGCAGAAUAAGCACCGGCUAACUACGUG
rnacentral:rRNA from 1 species